rnacentral:rRNA from 1 species
ACGAACGCUGGCGGCGUGCCUAAUACCUGCAAGUAGAACGCUGAAGGAGGAGCUUGCUUCUCUGGAUGAGUUGCGAACGGGUGAGUAACGCGUAGGUAACCUACCUGGUAGCGGGGGAUAACUAUUGGAAACGAUAGCUAAUACCGCAUAAGAGUAGAUGUCGCAUGACAUUUGCUUAAAAGGUGCAAUUGCAUCACUACCAGAUGGACCUGCGUUGUAUUAGCUAGUUGGUGAGGUAACGGCUCACCAAGGCAACGAUACAUAGCCGACCUGAGAGGGUGAUCGGCCACACUGGGACUGAGACACGGCCCAGACUCCUACGGGAGGCAGCAGUAGGGAAUCUUCGGCAAUGGACGGAAGUCUGACCGAGCAACGCCGCGUGAGUGAAGAAGGGUUUCGGAUCGUAAAGCUCUGUUGUAAGAGAAGAACGAGUGUGAGAGUGGAAAGUUCACACUGUGACGGUAUCUUACCAGAAAGGGACGGCUAACUACGUG